rnacentral:snRNA from 1 species
AUCGCUUCUCGGCCUUUUGGCUAGAUCAAGUGUAGUAUCUGUUCUUAUCAGUUUAAAAUCUGAUACGUCCCCUAUCUGGGGACCAUAUAUUAAAUGGAUUUUUGGAACAGGGAGAUGGAAGAAGAGCUUGCUCUGUCCACUCCACGCAUCGACCUGGUAUUGCAGUACCUCCAGGACCGGUGCACCUCUC